AUUUCAUGGAGAGUUUGAUCCUGGCUCAGGACGAACGCUGGCGGCGUGCCUAAUACAUGCAAGUCGAGCGGAUCUUGUCCUUCGGGACAAGGUUAGCGGCGGACGGGUGAGUAACACGUGGGUAACCUGCCCAUAAGACUGGGAUAACAUUCGGAAACGAAUGCUAAUACCGGAUACGCGAAU
rnacentral:rRNA from 1 species